CCUACGCGUGGCAGCAGUGAGGAAUAUUGGUCAAUGGCCGUAAGGCUGAACCAGCCAAGUAGCGUGAGGGAAGACUGCCCUAUGGGUUGUAAACCUCUUUUAUGCGGGGAUAAAGGUGUCCACGUGUGGAUGUUUGCAGGUACCGCAUGAAUAAGGACCGGCUAAUUCCGUGCCAGCAGCCGCGGUAAUACGGCAGGUCCGGGCGUUAUCCGGCUUUAUUGGGGUUAAAGGGAGCGUAGGCCGGUCUUUAAGCGUGCCGUGAAAUUUUGUGGCUCAACCAUGAGAGUGCGGCGCGAACUGGAGACCUUGAGUGCGCGGAAGGCAGGCGGAAUUCGUGGUGUAGCGGUGAAAUGCGUAGAUAUUAGGAGGAACACCAGUGGCGAAGGCGGAUUGCUAGACUGUAACUGACACUGAGGCACGAAAGCGUGGGGAGCAAACAGGAUUAGAUACCCUUGUAGUC
rnacentral:rRNA from 1 species